rnacentral:rRNA from 1 species
ACGGCAGCAUAGGUGCUUGCACCUGAUGGCGAGUGGCGAACGGGUGAGUAAUGCAUCGGAACGUGCCCAAUCGUGGGGGAUAACGCAGCGAAAGCUGUGCUAAUACCGCAUACGAUCUACGGAUGAAAGCGGGGGACCUUCGGGCCUCGCGCGAUUGGAGCGGCCGAUGUUAGAUUAGGUAGUUGGUGGGGUAAAGGCUCACCAAGCCGACGAUCUAUAGCUGGUCUGAGAGGACGACCAGCCACACUGGAACUGAGACACGGUCCAGACUCCUACGGGAGGCAGCAGUGGGGAAUUUUGGACAAUGGGCGAAAGCCUGAUCCAGCAAUACCGCGUGCAGGAAGAAGGCCUUCGGGUUGUAAACUGCUUUUGUACGGAACGAAAAGGCUCUUUCUAAUAAAGAGGGCUCAUGACGGUACCGUAAGAAUAAGCACCGGCUAACUACGUGCCAGCAGCCGCGGUAAUACGUAGGGUGCAAGCGUUAAUCGGAAUUACUGGGCGUAAAGCGUGCGCAGGCGGUUUUGUAAGACAGGUGUGAAAUCCCCGGGCUUAACCUGGGAACUGCACUUGUGACUGCAAGGCUAGAGUACGGCAGAGGGGGAUGGAAUUCCGCGUGUAGCAGUGAAAUGCGUAGAUAUGCGGAGGAACACCGAUGGCGAAGGCAAUCCCCUGGGCCUGUACUGACGCUCAUGCACGAAAGCGUGGGAGCAAACAGGAUUAGAUACCCUGGUAGUCCACGCCCUAAACGAUGUCAACUGGUUGUUGGGUCUUCACUGACUCAGUAACGAAGCUAACGCGUGAAGUUGACCGCCUGGGGAGUACGGC